GCUUGAGCACGUAGGUGGGUUUGUAAGUCAGAUGUGAAAGCCUUCUGUUCAACGGAAGAAUUGCAUCUGAAACUGCGAGUCUUGAGUGUAGGAGGGGAGAAUGGAACUUCUGGUGGAGCGGUGAAAUGCGUAGAUAUCAGAAGGAACGCCGGCGGCGAAAGCGAUUCUCUGGCCUAUUACUGACACUCAGUGUGCGAAAGCUAGGGGAGCAAACGGGAUUAGAUACCCCGGUAGUCCUAGCUGUAAACGAUGGGCACUAAGUAGAGGGAAUUACCGAUGUUCUCUCUGCCGUAGCUAACGCAUUAAGUGCCCCGCCUGGGGAGUACGGCCGCAAGGCUAAAACUCAAAAGAAUUGACGGGGGCUCGCACAAGCGGUGGAGCAUGUGGCUUAAUUCGAUGCAACGCGAAGAACCUUACCGGGGCUUGACAUGGUAGAAGUAGGAACCCGAAAGGGUAACAAACGGUAUCCAGUCCGUAACUAUCACAGGUGUUGCAUGGCUGUCGUCAGCUCGUGUCGUGAGACGUUGGGUUAAGUCCCCUAGCGAGCGAAACCCUUGUUUUUAGUUACCAGCGGGUUAUGCCGGGUACUCUAGAAAGACUGCCGUCGUCAAGACGGAGGAAGGUGGGGAUGACGUCAAGUCAUCAUGGCCCUUAUGCCCCGGGCUGCACACGUGCUACAAUGGUCGGUACAAACGGAAGCGAAGCCGAGAGGUGAAGCGAAUCCAAGC
rnacentral:rRNA from 1 species